UUCUUAUCUAGAGAAGUCGAGGGACUGGCCCGAUGACGCUUCAGCAACCAGCCGUUAGGUCAGGUGCUAAUUCCAGCAGGCACACGCCUGGCAGAUGAAAA
rnacentral:ncRNA from 1 species